rnacentral:rRNA from 1 species
ACCCAAUAGAUACCCGGGUAGUCCACGCCCUAAACGAUGUAUACUCGACAUCAGCGAUGCACUGUUGGUGUCUAAAGCGAAAGCGUUAAGUAUACCACCUGGGAAGUACGACCGCAAGGUUGAAACUCAAAGGAAUUGGCGGGGGUCCGCACAAGCGGUGGAGCAUGUGGUUUAAAAUUCGAUGAUACGCGAGGAACCUUACCUGGGCUAGAAUGCUGGUGGACGAAUCCUGAAACGGGGUUUUUGUAGCAAUACACCGCCAGUAAGGUGCUGCAUGGUUGUCGUCAGCUCGUGCCGUGAGGUGUUGGGUUAAGUCCCGCAACGAGCGCAACCCCGUAUCUUUAGUUGCCAGCGAGUAAUGUCGGGGACUCUAAAGAGACUGCCUGUGUAAACCAGAGAGGAAGGAGGGGUAUGACGUCAAAUCAUCAUGGCCUUUAUGCCCAGGGUCUACACACGUGCUACAAUGGUAGGUACAGAGGGCAGCCAACUGGCGACAGUGAGCGAAUCCCGAAAAAACCCGUAUCUCAGUUCGGAUUGAAGUCUGC